GACGAACGCUGGCGGCGUGCUUAACACAUGCAAGUCGAACGGAAAGGCCCUGCUUUUGUGGGGUGCUCGAGUGGCGAACGGGUGAGUAACACGUGAGUAACCUGCCCUUGACUUUGGGAUAACUUCAGGAAACUGGGGCUAAUACCGGAUAGGAGCUCCUGCUGCAUGGUGGGGGUUGGAAAGUUUCGGCGGUUGGGGAUGGACUCGCGGCUUAUCAGCUUGUUGGUGGGGUAGUGGCUUACCAAGGCUUUGAUGGGUAGCCGGCCUGAGAGGGUGACCGGCCACAUUGGGACUGAGAUACGGCCCAGACUCCUACGGGAGGCAGCAGUGGGGAAUAUUGCACAAUGGGCGGAAGCCUGAUGCAGCAACGCCGCGUGCGGGAUGACGGCCUUCGGGUUGUAAACCGCUUUCGCCUGUGACGAAGCGUGAGUGACGGUAAUAGGUAAAGAAGCACCGGCUAACUACGUG
rnacentral:rRNA from 1 species